UGGAUUAGUGGCGAACGGGUGAGUAACACGUGGGCAAUCUGCCCUUCACUCUGGGACAAGCCCUGGAAACGGGGUCUAAUACCGGAUAACACUCUGUCCCGCAUGGGACGGGGUUAAAAGCUCCGGCGGUGAAGGAUGAGCCCGCGGCCUAUCAGCUUGUUGGUGGGGUAAUGGCCUACCAAGGCGACGACGGGUAGCCGGCCUGAGAGGGCGACCGGCCACACUGGGACUGAGACACGGCCCAGACUCCUACGGGAGGCAGCAGUGGGGAAUAUUGCACAAUGGGCGAAAGCCUGAUGCAGCGACGCCGCGUGAGGGAUGACGGCCUUCGGGUUGUAAACCUCUUUCAGCAGGGAAGAAGCGCAAGUGACGGUACCUGCAGAAGAAGCACCGGCUAACUACGUGCCAGCAGCCGCGGUAAUACGUAGGGUGCGAGCGUUGUCCGGAAUUAUUGGGCGUAAAGAGCUCGUAGGCGGCUUGUCACGUCGGAUGUGAAAGCUCGGGGCUUAACCCCGAGUCUGCAUUCGAUACGGGCUAGCUAGAGUGUGGUAGGGGAGAUCGGAAUUCCUGGUGUAGCGGUGAAAUGCGCAGAUAUCAGGAGGAACACCGGUGGCGAAGGCGGAUCUCUGGGCCAUUACUGACGCUGAGGAGCGAAAGCGUGGGGAGCGAACAGGAUUAGAUACCCUGGUAGUCCACGCCGUAAACGUUGGGAACUAGGUGUUGGCGACAUUCCACGUCGUCGGUGCCGCAGCU
rnacentral:rRNA from 1 species